rnacentral:rRNA from 1 species
CAGUCGCCACGGUAAUACGAAGGGGGCUAGCGUUGCUCGGAAUUACUGGGCGUAAAGGGCGCGUAGGCGGACAGUUCAGUCGGGGGUGAAAGCCCGGGGCUCAACCUCGGAAUUGCCUUCGAUACUGGCUGUCUUGAGUAUGAGAGAGGUGUGUGGAACUCCGAGUGUAGAGGUGAAAUUCGUAGAUAUUCGGAAGAACACCAGCGGCGAAGGCGACACACUGGCUCAUUACUGACGCUGAGGCUCGAAAGCGUGGGGAGCAAACAGGAUUAGAUACCCCAGUAGUCCCUGUCUCUUAUAA